rnacentral:rRNA from 1 species
UAUGGCUCAGGACGAACGCUAGCGGCGUGCCUAAGAAAUGCAAGUUGAGCGAGGGGAUGGACUUCGGUCUGUCUUCCUAGCGGCGAACGGUCGCGUAACACGUAAGCAACCUGCCUCGAAGUUUGGGAUAGCCCUCCGAAAGGGGGAGUAAUACCGGAUGUGGAUACGAUGAGACAUCUUAUUGUAUCUAAAGCAGUAAUGCGCUUCGAGAUGGGCUUGCGGCCUAUCAGCUAGUUGGUGAGGUAACGGCCCACCAAGGCGACGACGGGUAGCUGGUCUGAGAGGAUGAUCAGCCGGAUUGGGACUGAGAUACGGCCCAGACUCCUACGGGGGGCAGCAAUUAGGAAUCUUGCGCAAUGGGCGAAAGCCUGACGCAGCGACGCCGCGUGACUGAUGAAGUCUUUCGGGAUGUAAAGGUCUUUUCUGAAGGAAGAACACAAUGACGGUACUUCAGGAAUAAGCCCCGGCUAACUACGUGCCAGCAGCCGCGGUAAUACGUAGGGGGCGAGCGUUGUCCGAAUUCACUGGGCGUAAAGCGCGCGUAGGCGGGCUAUUAAGUUGAUGGUGAAAUCCCGAGGCUCAACCUCGGAACUGCCUUCAAAACUGAUAGUCUUGAGGUUUGGAGAGGGAACUGGAAUUCCAGGUGUAGCGGUGAAAUGCGUAGAUAUCUGGAGGAACACCCAUGGCGAAGGCAGGUUCCUGGCCAUAUCCUGACGCUGAGGUGCGAAAGCUAGGGUAGCGAACGGGAUUAGAUACCCCGGUAGUCCUAGCCGUAAACGAUGGAUACUAGGUGUUAGAGGUAUCGACCCCUCUAGUGCCGGAGCUAACGCAUUAAGUAUCCCGCCUGGGGAGUACGACCGCAAGGUUGAA